AUGAGGGGCCUUAAGUUGUCAGCGGCAGAGAAGAAGGGGCUGAAGCUGUCGGAAGUGGAGCCGGAGAAGGUGCUAGACUGGGCGGUGGAGGAACCACAAGCGGUGGGGAAGCUGUUCUCGGAGAAACUAGCACAUGCGAGUGUGAUUGGGAACACGUUGGGUAAGAUUUGGUGCCCGGUCAAGGGGCUAGGGUGUAAGGAGAUCGAAGAAAAUGUUUUCUUGUUCACGUCCCGGCAAUCGGCGGGGUGGAGAAGGGCUUUGGAGGAUGGACAAUGGUGGUUCGGUAAGGAGCUGUUGGUAAUGGAAGACUUUGACCCUAAUAAAACAGUGGACGCGUACGACUUUAAUCUGAUCCCCAUGUGGGUUCGGGUCUUUGGACUGCCACUUGGCUCCAUGAACAGGCAAACAGGUGAAUUGAUUGGGAGGGACUUCCACGAGCUGCUAGAAGUGGAUGUUGGUCAUGAUGGGAAGGCUGUGGGAAAAUUCCUGAGAAUAAAGGUUAAGGUCAAUAUUGAGCAGCCUCUGAUGCGGGGUUUCUUGUUGGACAGAGAGAAAGAGAAAGGAGAUGUUGACGCAGUAAUGGAUGGUCCGGCACCAAGUAAGAAGAAGAAGAAAGUUCUCUGGUGCAGGUUUGAAUAGGAGUAUCUACCGGAUUUCUGCUACACCUGCGGGAUUGUAGGGCAUUGUGAGAAAGAAUGCAUGAACAAGACUCUGAAAGGGGAAUCACCUCAGUUUGGGCCCUGGUUAAGAGCGGAGGAGAAUGGUAGGGGGACGGAGGAAGGAGGUAGAGGGAGAUGGGAGGAGGGUAGGGGGAGUGGUGGUAGUAGGAGCUAG
rnacentral:rRNA from 1 species